UAGAGUUUGAUCAUGGCUCAGGAUGAACGCUAGCGACAGGCUUAACACAUGCAAGUCGAGGGGCAGCGGGGGUGAUGGCUUGCCAUCACCUGCCGGCGACCGGCGCACGGGUGAGUAACACGUAUGCAACCUGCCCGCCACAGGGGGAUAAGCGGAAGAAAUUCCGUCUAAUACCGCGUGACGCGGCACCGGGGCAUCCCGGUGCCGCCAAAGGGAUUACCGGUGGCGGAUGGGCAUGCGGCGCAUUAGCUAGUCGGCGGGGUAACGGCCCACCGAGGCGACGAUGCGUAGGGGUUCUGAGAGGAAGGUCCCCCACACUGGUACUGAGACACGGACCAGACUCCUACGGGAGGCAGCAGUGAGGAAUAUUGGUCAAUGGGCGCGAGCCUGAACCAGCCAAGUCGCGUGAGGGAUGACGGUCCUACGGAUUGUAAACCUCUUUUGCCGGGGAGCAAGCGUGCGUUCGUGAACGCGCGUCGAGAGUACCCGGAGAAAAAGCAUCGGCUAACUCCGUGCCAGCAGCCGCGGUAAUACGGAGGAUGCGAGCGUUAUCCGGAUUUAUUGGGUUUAAAGGGUGCGUAGGCGGGAUGCCAAGUCAGCGGUAAAAAAGCGGUGCUCAACGCCGUCGAGCCGUUGAAACUGGCGUUCUUGAGUGGGCGAGAAGUAUGCGGAAUGCGUGGUGUAGCGGUGAAAUGCAUAGAUAUCACGCAGAACUCCGAUUGCGAAGGCAGCAUACCGGCGCCCUACUGACGCUGAGGCACGAAAGCGUGGGUAUCGAACAGGAUUAGAUACCCUGGUAGUCCACGCAGUAAACGAUGAAUGCUAACUGUCCGGUGC
rnacentral:rRNA from 1 species